AUCACUUUGUCAUUAUUAAAUAGUAUUAAAAUACAAUAUGUCAUUAUUAAAUACAUUUAGUAUAAAAUACAAUAUUUUUACAUAAAUUAAGAGCCUUUGAUGAAAUUGAUAUAAAAUCAAUAAAGUAUGUCUAUUAAAUAUAGUAUAUUAUAAAAUAAUUUAUAUUUUAUAAUAUACUAUAUUUAAUAUAAUAUUAUGUAUGACAUGGACCCCUCUUGCAUUGAACAACCACACAGACACUCAUUCACGAUCAGGAUUUUCUCAUUUGUAAUUGAAAGAUGCAAGACAUCACUCACAAUUUUUGUAGAUUUGUACAAUUAUAAACGGUACAGUCUCUCGCAUAGCCUUUCGCCUGUCUUUGUUUAUACUCUGUAUAUAAUUAAAUCUCGUAUAUAAAAUGUCCCUUCGGCUUCGGCGAUUUCAAUCUUUAAAUAAUCCAAUGUCCAAUUUUGUGUAGCUUUUUAAUACAUUGUGACACAACAUCCAACAUCUUUUAUAUUAAAAAUAAAAUUUCCAUUGAUAGACAGCAGAUUUCAACGACCAAAACGACUCUUCGUUUCCUAUGAAGAGUUAAUACACUCCUAUCUACUCCUAUAGUCAGCCAUAUUUAUUAGUAAAAGUUCGUGUUCAAUUUCCGCAUUCCAUUGUUUUCAUGCGACCAAUCAAAUCACUUCUCGUUUUGGUUUUCGCCAGGGCCUCCGGCAACGCAGUGUCAGCCGUGAGGCCCUGGGACCGAGGAUGGAUUCGAAGAGAAGAUGGGUUCCCCACGCUCUUCUCAGGAAAAAAUGUGACUGAAUGACUUCAUGCAUGUAUACAGUUUAUUAGUUGAUGUUUUGCAGACCUCGGUCAGUCAUCAGGUCACAACUCGCAAGCCAGAAAGGAAUUCAUACAUCUCGUAAAUCCGCAAUAUUCUUUAUAUAUAUGAAUAGGGCAAUGCUAAGGGCAAUUGUACAUUGAAGUGGAAAUAUUUCAACUGUCAAAAUCAUUUGCCUUUAAUAAUAACUGCUUUACUGGCUAUAAUUAUACUGCCAUUGGAUUGCACAUAGGUAAUAAUACUAACGAUUUACAAUAUCAUCGCAUACAUAUUUAAAAGUGCCAAAGACAAAGUCACAAUAACGGUGUACUAUUUGUAAUUGUAGACUAGCUGGCAAUAAUACAAUUUGCCUGAAGAUAUCUGUCAAUAGGAGAUUAGUUCUGCACUUUAAACACCUCUGAAAAGAAACGCAAUUGUGUUUCGGUUAUUUUCUCUAUGGUUGCCAAUGCACGCGAUUUACCGUUACGUACAUACAUGUAGUCGCUAAUACGACUACGACAAGCCCCCAAUGUAAUGUGGGUAUAAUUCUUCAAUACAUGAAUGUAAAGUUGUGUUCCCCAUGUUGUAUAACACUUAGUGAAACCCACCUAUAUAAUACCAGCCUGUGCAUCAGUUGGAUGCAUAAACACCCAAGAUGCAUGGCAAACACAAUCUGACACAAUCUGUACAGGUAGAGCACUCGUUUUUUCUCUUGCGUCUUUCCUUUUGUUUUUAAGGCGAACAACAAACUCGAAUGCGUUCUGGUGAUGUUCACUCCUGCUAUCUGAACCGAAGACUAUUCCCGGAUUGCAGCCUCAUCGCUUGAUUAUGAACUCUAAAACAUUCUAACCUAUGAACUGUCUAUAUGUAUUGUAAUGUUCCUGCAUGAAUUGCGAGGACGAGGUUUUACUGAGGUUUAACCAGUAGUUUAUAACGCUCAGAAGUUUUUAUAAUCCAGUUUAAACAAUGGCAAAUUCAAAAUAUAACCUAACUUGGAUACUUGCAGGAAUAAAAUGGCUAUAAACACUUUAUACUGGUUGUAGAAAAAGCAGCUAGUUCAAAAUGCCAGCCCACUUGUAAACCAGCAGAGUAAAAGGGUAAAAACACUAUGCUACUAUUAUAUAUAACCCUCGCUCCGACGUUAUCGUUUGCAGUCUUAGGUAUGGUGCUGUUUACCGUGAUGCUGAUUCUUCUUACACUUGUAAAGAUAGAGCUAUGUGGGGAGCUGCGGGUGGUCUUGGCCCUACCCAGGUUUUCCUGUACUGCAGGUUUUUUCCUGGCCUCCCUGAUUACCCAGCCUUAGCAUAAGGGUCAGCAUCAAGUGAACAGCAUUCUCUAGUGAACCUCGCGCCUUUUGACUUCGUUAAAUUGACAUAGCCGGACUUGGCCGCGUCGGCAAUGAACUGAAACGGGUCUGCAAUUAGUUCUUUCAUAUAAAAACAACAACAAAGUUCAAACAUUUAACGAAUCUGCCUAAUAUUGACAUGCUAAACGCAAAGCAAAAAACAAUAAUUUUAUUCUUUAACCACCCCUUUUUUCACUUUAUUGCCGACCCGGUCGACUCUGCGCUGCUUCCCGUGGCGGAAACGACAACCUAUACUUCGUAUAGAUUGUCAUUAAUGGCAGGGAAGUGCUGUCCGAUGGACAACACUUCACCACGUGAAGCGCAAUCACUGCUCAUUCAGGUCGCACUGAAGACCUGAAUGAGCAGUCCUAGAGACUCGAUGUGGUCAGUCAGGUUAUCAGUUGCGGCCCGGGGUAAUGUGCCCUAUACGAAUAGUUGUUCACCAGUCCAACUAGGUCUCAAUGUCGACGGCCUGACGGAUCUGAACGGGGGUUCGCCUGUUCCCCUGUUAUCUAGAGGUCCGCCUGUUCCUCUAGAACAACCUACAGUUUUUGCGUGUAUCCUCAGCCAGCUUUGAGUACCCUGGGUAAUGUGCCCUAUACCAAUAGUUGUUCACCAGUCCAACUAGGUCUCAGCUCGCUGAACGACAUGCACAGAGCCAAGCAUGCCCUCUGCAGUCUAGAGAUUCGCCUGUUUCUCUAGAUAAAACUUAGGUUAGCGAGAGCCUCUAGACAGUUCGGCCGGAACUGUUUUCGAGCACUUCUCUGCCCAAAAUAUAUGCCACAAAAAUGUGUUCCAAGUUAUUGUUGUCUUGCUUAGUUGCCAGUUGUUCGAUUUUAACUAUCUGUCUCUUUUCCAACAUAUUCAACUUCAUUAAUUCGAAUUUUCUAUACAAUGCAAUCAUAAAACUGGCUGUGAAAUUUCAUUGCAUAAACACAUUAAUUAUUCUUGCUCGUCGUACUCAUCGGUUUUAAACAGGGCGCUUAUAUAGAGGGCGGUGAAACGCGCGAUGUCGCGCUGAUCGAUGUGUGAUGCGGAAAAGGACUGGCACGAGCGUGCUUUUCGGCAAAAGUUGACAAAAAGCGUGAUUUUUCCUGCUGUUGUAUUUUUGCUGUUUUUUCAUUAACUACGAAAUUCUUGAGGAUGUUUUUGCACUGUAACGACGAAGUAAUAACUAGUGUAUCGUACGAAUGCUUGUUUGGCCUGUAUAGUUGAAUUUUGAAAGACAUAUUGAGGAUAAUGAGUCGGGCUUUUGAUGACUUCAAUGAAGGGAAAUUUUCAAAACAGCAUUUGGGCAUGUUAUCAAGUCGUCCAAACUUCGAAAUUCAGUUGAUGGUAAAGAUUAUAAUUAUGUGCUUAUCUCCAAAAGUUUUCAUAAAACUCGGAGUUGAGCAAUUGAAUACACAGCGUUGGAAAGUGAGGUAUUUUUGUGUGUUAAAUUUUGCCUAAUUUAUAGACCAUUAUUUCGCUGCAAAAAAAUAAACAACAAUUGUAUUUUGGCCAUGUAGUGAUUUUUGGUUAUUAUGUUAAUAAUUUUCUACGACUUUUAAGGCAUUCAAUUGAAGUAAUUCUGAGCCGUAAACAUAUUUUACUUCCUGGCUUUUGAAUCAAAAUACGACUCGCUCGGACGUUUGUUGAGCGCAAUAGUCGAAAAAGUUUUGUCCCAACUUUGAUUUUUUUUGACCGGCUGGCCAAGACAACUUCUCGUAAGGAUUCGUUAAAAAAAUACAAAUUCAAGUUGAGCAUUUCUUGAUUUUCAACUGAAAAGAUCAACUAGUGGCUAAAAUUAAUUGUGAAUUGUAUUCUAUCGAACGUGAACGAUACGUGUACAUCCGAAGAGUUUUAAAAACCUUUCACGUCAUGCUUCUUGCGAAAGCAACCGUUCGUAAGCUUUCGCAAGCGUUUUGAGCAAAAACUCUAAAAUAUUGGCAGUAUUACCUGAAAAUACAAUAACAGAAUCUACUAAAUUAUCGUAUAACAUCGGAAUUUUACCCCCAAUAUCUAUUUCUUUAUCAAAACUUGACUACAAAACAGUCAAAACUUCCAGCUCAGUUUUCCCGCCAUAUUUAUCCAUGCCAUAUAGGACAACGUCGCCAUAGUAACCACAACAAACUCGUUACCAGUUCAUUGCAUCACACAUCGAUCGGCGCGCCUUUUUACUUUUAUUAUGUUUGGUUUUAAAGUUAUUUGCUGGGCUUUGCAUGCUCUUUAUUAUUAAACUCCGCAAGUUGUUAACAUUUUCAUUCUCUAUGUUUCGAUUACAGUUAAUGCCACCACGUUUUGUAGUGAGAUUUAGAGAUAUAGGUAGUUGGUUUUUAAAAAACGUGCAUUCUGAACAUGACUAACAAUCACGUGUAAGCACGGUAAUAAUUAGUCUGCGCACAGACUGUCUCUUCCCCCCCGUGGUGGAAGGAUUACAGUCUGCGACCAUUUGUCACUAAUGCUGUACAGUGACGUAGACGUAUAAAUAGAUAUAAUAUUGUGCACUUCAGCACUUUAAUGGCUUUCUAAUUUUAUUAUCCAAUCAGGUGCGUUACUUUAA